UGGUCUGUAGCUCAGGUGGUUAGAGCGCACCCCUGAUAAGGGUGAGGUCGGUGGUUCAAGUCCACUCAGGCCUACCA
rnacentral:tRNA from 1 species